rnacentral:rRNA from 1 species
GACGAACGCUGGCGGCGUGCUUAACACAUGCAAGUCGAACGGAAAGGCCCUGCGUUUGUGGGGUGCUCGAGUGCCGAACGGGUGAGUAACACGUGAGUAACCUGCCCUUGACUUUGGGAUAACUUCAGGAAACUCGGGCUAAUACCGGAUAGGAUCUCCUGAUCCACGGUGGGGGUUGGAAAGUGUCGGCGGUUGGGGAUGGACUCGCGGCUUAUCAGCUUGUUGGUGGGGUAGUGGCUUACCAAGGCUUUGACGGAUAGCCGGCCUGAGAGGGUGACCGGGCACAAUGGGCCUAAGAUACGGCACAGACGGCUAUGGGAGGCAGCAGGCGAGAAUAUUACGCAAUGAGCGGAAGCCUGAUGCAGCAGCGCCCGGUGCGGGAUGACGGGCUUCGGGGUAUAAACCGCUGUCGCAUGUGACGAAGCGUGAUUGACGGUAAUGGGUAAAGAAGCACCGGCUAACUACGUG